UGCCAGUGUGGUGGAAUGGUAUACACGGACGACUCAAAAUCGUCUGACGAAAGUCAUGAGAGUUCGAAUCUCUCCACUGGUAG
rnacentral:tRNA from 1 species